UUUCUUACUUUUCCUUAAUGAUUUAAACUAGAUUUGCCAAUGGUCGUUCUACUGGGCUCAUUUUGGACAGUGGAGCCACUCAUACCACUGCGAUUCCAGUUCACGAUGGCUAUGUCCUUCAGCAAGGUAUUGUGAAAUCGCCUCUUGCUGGAGACUUUAUUACUAUGCAAUGCAGAGAACUCUUCCAAGAAAUGAACAUAGAACUGAUUCCUCCGUAUAUGAUUGCAUCAAAAGAACCUGUGCGGGAAGGAUCUCCGGCAAACUGGAAAA